CCUUUGUAUGCCUCUUCAUUCCCUGAUCUGUUUUCUGUUGCCUCUUCCAGAAUUUGUUAAAUCGCAGGUGUCGUGUAAAGGAAGCCUACUGUCUGUACUCAUUUAUCUGGCUUCUUUUCUUUCAGCAGCAUAUGAAGGCAGCAGUACAUGAGAACAGCUGGGCUCUAGGUCAGGCUGCCAGAGUUCAGACGUCAGCCACACUAUUUACACAAGGAUGACUUCCAGCAGGAAACUUCAAUACGUCUGUUAUACAGUUGCCCCAGGCCUCAGCGACCAUGUCUUUCAACCCGGAAUCUCAGCAUCGCACCAGCUGGACAUGAGGCCCCCUGAGGAACCAUCAGAAAGAACUGAGGAUGCGAAAGCCGGUCACUAAGCAGGACGUGAAAACUGUUUGCAGCAACGGCUGCAGUAGCAAAGGUGUAUUUAAUUAGCUCUGUUUACCGCCAGAGGACUGGGACUCAUGGGCGAGUGUUACCAGACUACAAAGGAAGGACUAUCCCGCUCUCAG
rnacentral:lncRNA from 1 species